GUAGUCCACGCCCUAAACGAUGAGUGCUGGGUGUCCGGCGUUUGCCGGGUGCCGAAGCUAACGCGUUAAGCACUCCGCCUGGGAAGUACGGUCGCAAGACUGAAACUCAAAGGAAUUGACGGGGGCCCGCACAAGCGGUGGAGCAUGUGGUUUAAUUCGAAGGAACGCGAAGAACCUUACCAGGCCUUGACAUCCUAGGAACCCUGAUGAAAGUCGGGGGUGCCCGCAAGGGAACCUAGAGACAGGUGCUGCAUGGCUGUCGUCAGCUCGUGUCGUGAGAUGUUGGGUUAAGUCCCGCAACGAGCGCAACCCUUGUCCUUAGUUGCUAACGGGUAAGCCGAGCUCUCUAGGGAGACUGCCCGCGAAAGCGGGAGGAAGGCGGGGAUGACGUCUAGUCCGCAUGGCCCUUACGGCCUGGGCGACACACGUGCUACAAUGCCCGGCACAGAGCGCUGCCACAUCGCAAGAUGGAGCUAAUCGCCUAAAUCCGGGCUCAGUUCGGAUUGGGGUCUGCAAACCGACCCCAUGAAACUGGAAUCGCUAGUAAUCGCGGAUCAGCCAUGCCGCGGUGAAUACGUUCCCGGGCCUUGUACACACCGCCCGUC
rnacentral:rRNA from 1 species